GAGAUUUUAGCUUAAUUAAAGUGUCUGAGUUGCAUUCAGGUGAUGCAGGUGAUAAUUCUGCAGGUCUU
rnacentral:tRNA from 1 species